rnacentral:rRNA from 1 species
GAUUAUGGCUCAGGAUGAACGCUGGCGGCGUGCUUAACACAUGCAAGUCGAACGGAGUAUUGAGAAUGAAGUUUCGGAUGGAUUUCUUAAUACUUAGUGGCGGACGGGUGAGUAACGCGUGGGUAACCUGCCUCACACAGGGGGAUAACAGUUGGAAACGACUGUUAAUACCGCAUAAGACCACAGUACCGCAUGGUACAGGGGUAAAAAACUCCGGUGGUGUGAGAUGGACCCGCGUCUGAUUAGUUAGUUGGCGGGGUAACGGCCCACCAAGACGACGAUCAGUAGCCGAUCUGAGAGGAUGACCGGCCACAUUGGGACUGAGACACGGCCCAAACUCCUACGGGAGGCAGCAGUGGGGAAUAUUGCACAAUGGGGGAAACCCUGAUGCAAGCGACGCCGCGUGAGUGAAGAAGUAUUUCGGUAUGUAAAGCUCUAUCAGCAGGGAAGAAAAUGACGGUACCUGAGUAAGAAGCCCCGGCUAACUACGUGCCAGCAGCGGC